CGCAUCUUCUUUGGGGAGCAGAAACCUCUUCCCAUUAGCACCACUUCGAGACACCCGCGUUCCCCGCCGGAGUCCAAUCCAUCCCGCUCACCUUCCGGAGGGGGCCCUCGCACCGGCCUGCCGCGGGGAUCGCUUGCAUAAGACAAGAAGAGAUUAAAUGGGAAACGUGAAGACCUCUUCCUUCUUGCUUCUCAAAGGCAUCCAACGUAGGUCAUCCCCCAUCCUGUUCUCUAGCUGCAGCUGGACUUCCAGGAGGCUGGUUUCUCUCUCAGAAGCACAGUGUGUGGAGCUAUCCGUGGUGCUGACUCUGCUCCCUGCCUUUAAGGAGAAGUCAUUGAGGAAGUCAACCAAUGACAGUGGAACAGCAAACUCAGUCAAGUGGCUGUUAAGGCACAUACCCUGAUCUUAGUCACCAAGCGCCUAGAAAAACACACAUUACUAUUUUUGACACAUUUCUUAAACUCCUUCCUUUUUUACUUAUCUUUUAAACUAAACUCAAGUUCAUAUUUCUCUCAAAAUCCCAGCUACAGAGGAGAAAAAAAAGGCAACUUGUGUGAACUGAAAAUUUUCCAUAUAAAAUUUCAUUGCCUAUAAGGUUUCAUGACACAGUAGUACAAUAACAAGUUGUAACAAAGCAGCAUGGCUGGGUGAUACAUUUUAAAUGACUUGUAAAUUCAGAAGAUGAAUACCACUUCAACAUAAUAACUAUCCUCAUUAUAUUUUGAAACACAAAUGUUUUUCUACUACAGAGUAAGAAGAAUUAACAUGUCAGAAGUUUACUGUGCAGUGUUCCUGUUUACGACUGUGACGCUGACUUUCACAAACUUUGAGUUUGGAAACCCUGUAGCUCCACUUUCUCCAAGAGGAAAAAUGGAAUCCUAUUCUCUAGAGCAUUUUUUUUCCUUUAGCUACAACUCUCAAAAUGGUAUGUACAUGAUAAAUUUCUAUAGCCUAUGUAACAUAUAAGCAAGAUUAUAGGUUUCACAUUUCCUCAGCCUCAUUUUACUAAGUUCAGUUCUAUUCAUGAAUCUAUGCAAAAUCAUAGAACAUUCCACAACCUAUGCAUUGUAAUUGAUUGAUUUGAACAGAAGAUUAAAGGCAUCCUGUUUCUAAAUUACCCCAGUAAUUGUGUUCAUGCAUUAUAUAUUGGUACAGUGGAGACAAGUACAUUAAUCUAUACUCACCCAAUAAUAGAAUAAAACCAGAGAGUGACAAUCAGGGCUUCUUGAUGUCUGGAAAGUUAUCUACCUUCAUCCUACUCUCUUUAAAAGUGAACCAGCUAUUAUGGGUUUUAUUUCUGACAAGCAUUUUGAAUUCUUUUGAGUUGUAAAUCCAAAUACUGAAAAAAAAAAUAGAUAAACUGAGCUCUCACAAUCCCGUACAAUGUACAACUUGAUACCCAGGCUCCUGAUUUUGGCCAUAGAUUCAUAUAUCUUUUAAAACUAACCUAGUUACCCACAUUUCCUUGAAUCUAAGCUAUUAAGAAUUUGUAUGUGUAAAUGUUUUAACAAUGCCUAACACACAGUAAACAGCAAGUGUUAUACACAUUUUACAUGUGUGCUGUUGGGUGUAUUACUCAGUGAUAAACCAUGUUUGUUUAGCAUGGAUACCAUUGUAGCACACUUUAAGAAAUAACACUUUUCUUUAAAAAAUUACAUUAGAAAAAAUUUAGGCAUCAUAUAUGCUUACUCCAGUCUUCAGAGAAAUUGUAAUCAUCAUAGAAUUUUGAAGUGGUAGUCUUAUGCUGAGAAGAAAAAAAAAACUGUGUGAGGAAAUGAGUGGUGUUACUUCAGCAUUUUACUGUUGUUUAAAAGUGAUAAAGAGAGUAAUUUGGUGAUAUUUAUGUGAAGUUUUUUGUACAAUUUUGCAAAACUGUGUUAUUGAUCUGAUGACCACAAUGCAUCAUUUUAAUGGCUAUCUUAAUGUGGUCUUGUGUGGAGAUGCUGGAUGGCCUUUUGCUAACUGGGUCACAUCUAACUUAAGAAACAUCUGACUCUACAGUUAGGGGUUGGGCAGAUUUUGACUUGCAUUUUCCUCUCUCUGUAGCUCUGGAAUCUCCUCAGAGGCAGGAAUGUUGAGCUCAACUACAGUUUGGAGUAGAGAUAAAAGUAGAGCAAAGACCAGAUUUUAACAUCACACUAUUUUAUUCUAGUGGAAUUAGGGGCUGGGAGCUGGUUCAACUGCUGAAGUGCUUUCUGCACAUCAUGACAGUCUGAGUUCUCAUGAUUAGGGUUGGGAUUCUCACCUCCCACAGAGAAGCAGGGUAUUAUGGCUUACCCAAUGCUGGGCAAGAGGGGACAGGUGAAUUCUAGAGGUGUUAGUCAAGCAAUCUAGUUGAUUAAAUCUAGCUCAAAAUUCAGUGAGGAAUACUUUCUCAAAAAAUAAGGUGGGAAGCACCCAAGGAAGAUACCUAAUAACAAUCUAGAGACUUCUAAAAUCCAAGGAAGACAGUGAUACUGGGGAGGCCCAAUAUUGGUUCCUGACCCCUUUCCCCCCACCACACACAAAUACAAAUACAUUUCCAUACACAAAAUGUUAAAACAUAAUGGAUACUACUGAAAACAUUUAAGAUAUCUAAUUGUGAAUUCAUUUAUAAAAUCAGUGGUUUAACUUCUGUUUUUCAGGUUUGUGUGAACAAUAAUGAAAAGAGGUAUGCAAAUAUUUAAGCAUAAAAUCAUUUUAUUGAUGAUAUGUUAAACUGACUAUAUUAAGAAACUCUGUUCUGUGAAGACUGAGGUGGCUGUCUUCUUCCUAAAGCAUUCCACCAAUCAUCACAGAAAAUAACCUGUUCAAAUGAAUCAAAGAUCCAUUAAUAACAGAAACUGAUAAAGGAUACUGAUACAAUUGAAUUUGAUAACUUAUGAAAAAUCACCUAAAACACAUAAAAGUAGAUUAUAGCAAUAUUAUGGCUAAAUAUUUGAUAGUGUACAUUAGAAGUUUUUGACUCUUAGCUUUAUCCUGAUAUUAUAGCAUUUCCACAUAGUUUUAGAAUACUUUUUAUC